rnacentral:misc_RNA from 1 species
CGGGGAUCUUGCCGGUGCCGUAGGAGUCGACGAACACGGAGAGCGGCUCGGGGACGCCGAUGGCGUACGACACCUGCACGAUGCAGCGGCGGGCGAGGCCGCUGGCGACGAUGCUCUUGGCGGCCUGCCUGGCGAUGUAGGCGCCGCUCCGGUCGACCUUGGUCGGGUCCUUGCCGGAGAAGGCGCCGCCGCCGUGCGCGCCCCAUCCGCCGUAGGUGUCGAUGAUG